CUCCAUCGUGUCUGAGAGCUUUCCUCGCGGCCACACCCCACACGACUGCCUACACACGCACCAUCACUGCCAAAACGUACCCCGCACACGCUAAAAAGUGGGCUAACAUGGAUUAGGCCGCUGCUGAUAGACGGCACUUGCACACCCCCUCCUUUACUUAUAUCCAUGCGAGAUACGCGCAUACACAGUACCGCCUCUAGACAUCCUUUCUUAUACUCUUGUUAGAUUAUUCCACCCCCCCCCAGCUAUCUUUCCGUCAUGUCUGCUCAUCCGUAUUCGGCGCUGCGGUCCACCACGCCGCCGCUGUACUACCGCAGGCCCGAGGGCACGGCGCCGUCCUACUACACAGUUCCAGCAAAGGAGGUGGAGGGACUGCGCAUCCCCUCCUCCUCCUCCCACCCUGCUGCUGCGAUGACCGCCGGAGCUCCCAUCACCGUCGCCGGGGAGUACCCGCGACCCAGCGCGAGUCUGCAUCCCUCAGUGGACCGCAGUUCUCUCAAUCGUGUUCCUACGACGACGGCAGCGGCGGCGCCGCCGCCAUCUCCGCGGCUCUCUGGCUACGUCAUGCCCUCAGUGGUGAACCCCUACUCUCAAGGAGCCUCGCAGCAGCCAGCGGUGGCACACGUGGCAGAGCCUGUCAACCCCGCCUCCUACCUUCAGCAAGCCAACGCGAUGGGCAGGUGGAGCUACCAGCAGCCGCAGUACCCUACGCUUGAUCCUGUUGCCACUCGCGUAGCCGCCAUAGACUCCGAGGAAGCGGCCAUGGCGGCAGAGGAGAUGACGCUGCGAGCCAAGCUGGCGGAGCUGCAGGUGACCCGGAAGCAGCAAGAGGAGGAGCAGCUCUAUCUCAGCCAUGGGUGGGCGCAGAUGCUCGAGAAAGAGGAGCGCUACUACACGGAGCCUGUGAUCGACUUGAGGCCUGACAUCAUGGCGAGGGAGCAGCAGUGUGCCAUGCUGCACAACCACCUCCAGCAAGUGGAAGCACAGGCCCAGCACGCGCAGUCGCAGCUGCAGGGCACUGAGUAUAUCCUGCGCGAUGCGGAGAGCUUCGAGCAGGAGCGAAGGCGCGUGCAGGACGCCUUUCAGGAGGUGGAGCGGCGCAGGCGCGAGUGCGUUGCUCGGGCGGAGCGCUACUUCGACGUAGAGGUGAAGCGGGUCGUGGAGGGCAACAAGGUGAUCCGCAAGCUUGACAGCCAGCUGCGCGAGAUGACGCAACGCGGCCCGCUGGCACAGCUACAGGAUGGCAACCGCCACCCCUCCACCGGUCGUAGGUCCGCGUCUCGCGCGGUCACCUUCGCGCCUGACAAGAGCAUCGUCCUAGACUUGGGACGCGAAGAGUCCGCCUCCUCUGCAGAGCCCGUCACUAUAGACGACGAGAGUGGCAGCUUGACAAACAGCUACACCAGCGCGCACGGCACAGCUCCCCGAUACGAGGGGCACUCAACGUACGCGUUUUGUGGAUUGCCAGAUGAGGACAUUGGUGGCACGAGCGUCGCCUUCUCCCUCAACGAUACCAGGGACUCGUUGAUGAAGCGGCGCAAGGUGGAGAUCGCCUCCGUGUAGUGUGGCGCCCAUUGCCUGCUGAAGCUACUUUUUUUUUGUUCUCUAUCGCUUGUGCUCCUGUGUGAGCUGUCUCCGCCAUAGAACACCUCUAUUUCCAUUUGCCGCCCUCCUCCUCUCUGCGUGUGCGCGUGUGCGUGCAUGCGGGGCGGAUGGUGCUCCUCUUGAUUUCCUGUUAGAUCUUUGGCUUGUGUGUGUGUGUGUGUGUGCAUCCGGGCAUCUUUUCUCUACCUUACCCCCGCGCGCGCUCUCCUACGCCCUCCUUGCUCUCCACUGAUGCAUAUUUGUAUCCGUACGGGCGUGUGACGCUGCGCGGGCGGCGGGUGCCUCGAUGCGCUGGACGAUUCAUUAGCCAACGAGUGAG
rnacentral:misc_RNA from 1 species